UUGUUGAUAUGUUUUACUCCUUCCUAAUGCUAAAACAUAUUGAGUAUAAUAGCACAAGUAAGGUGUCGAAUCCACAGGGACUAAUUGGACCUAUACAAUCACUUGCUUUGCAAGAACCAUAUUAAAUGACUUAAACUAAGCAACUUAGACAGAUUUGUUGUUGUGUAACUUGAAAACUCACAAAAAUGUAGUGAACACAAGUGAAUGAAUCAACAAGUAAUAAAAUGGAAUAACACCAAUGGAGAUGAAACUAGGGAUUCGGUUUCACCAUAGCUAAAUCAAUCCCAUGUUUGUUAAAUCAGUUUAUGCUCAUUCAUUUACCUAUUUCUUGAGUUUGUUUCACUUAGAUAUGAUCAACCAUAUGAUGUGUGGAUUUGAUCAAAUC
rnacentral:lncRNA from 1 species